rnacentral:ncRNA from 2 species
GCGUAAUAGUCGGGGGGCCAGUGCACAUUGUAUUGGCUGAGAUCGAAUACUCGAGACCCGCAGAACCUGAUUCAGUUAGCACUGGCGUAGGGAACUAUUUGCACUUUGAC